AAGACAGCCCCAAACUUGAAUUUCUAAUUCAAAGUUCAAAUAUUGAUUUAUUUAUGUCUUU
rnacentral:tRNA from 1 species